UUUUAUGGAUGGGGUCUUCUGCUGUGCAGAAGCUUUUUAGUUCGAUGUAGUCUCACUUGUUUAUUUUUGCUUUGUUUUGCCUUGCCUGGGGAGUCAUGUCCAGAAAACAUGACCAAGGCUAAUAUUCAAGAGUUUACUCCUUGUUUUCUUUUAGGAGUUUAAUGGCUUCAGGUCUUCUAUGUAGGUCUUUAAUCCAUUUCAAGUUCAUUUUGUGGAUGGUGUAGAAAGCGGUCCAGUUUCAUUCUCCAGUGCAUGAUAUUUCUGUUAUGGUUGAGUUCUCAUGUUUUUGGUUUCUACUUAUGUCCAUUUCAGUAAAGUACAUUUUUUCUAGGAAACAUUUUUGCCAAAUAUAUUUCAAAUAAGUACAAACUUUUUUUCAUAGUUUUUUCUCAUUUAAAAAAAAAUCUCUACUUCUAUAGUUGUACCUCCCUUUUGGUCCUAAAUUAUUCUUAGUGUCCACUCUUUUUUCAUAUAUCCACCUCCCCAGAAGUUUGCCAGAGCAGAAUGCCAGCCAGAAAGGCUAGUGUGUAUAUAUAUAUAUAUAAAGAGAUAACAAAUGUUGGUGAGAAAAGGGAACCCUUGUGUACUAUUGGUGGGAAUGUAAAUUGGUGCAGUCACAUGGAAAACAGUAUGGAGUUUCCUCAAAAAAUUAAAAAUAGAAAUAUCAUCCUCCCCAGAAAUCCCACGCUUGGAUUUACCUGAAGAAAACAGGGUAAAUACAUAAUUUGAAAAGUAUAUGCACCAUUUUAUUUAUUGCAGUAUUAUGUACAAUAGCCAAGACAUGGAAGCAACGUAAGUGUCCGUCAGUAGGUGAACAGAUAAGAAAGACGUGGGGUAUAUAUGUGUCAUGGAAUAUUUCUCAGCCAUAAAAAAUGAAAUCUUAUUAUUUGUGACAACAUGGAUGGACUUAGAGGGUAUUAGGCUAAGUGAAAUAAGUCAAAUACCAUAUGAUUUCACUAUAUGUAGAAUCUAAAAGACAAAAUGAAAAAAGUCAUAAAAAGAGAGGACAAACUGAUAGUUGUUACCAUAAGAGGGGGCAGGGGAAUGGGUGAAAUAGGUGAAGGGGAUAAAGAGGGACAAACUUCCAAUUAUAAAAUGAAUAAGUCACAUGGAUAAAAAGUACGUCAUAGGGCACACAGUCAAUGAUACUAUAGUAACUUUGUAUGGUGACAUGUUAGCUACGCUUACAUGGUGAGCAUUUUGUAACAUGUAUAUUUGUCAAGUUACUGUGUUGUACACCUGAAACCUAUAUAUUAUUAUAAUGUCUAUCAGCUAUAUUUAAAAAAAUACAAUCAAAAGCAAUAUCAUGCAUUAAGAUUAUAUUCCUUUUCCUCUGAGUUUAUAAAAGUGCAAUACAAGAGAUACUUGUGAUGAUGGGACUGUUUUGCCUUUUGAUUGUGGUGGCAGAUACACAAACCUACAAAUUAAAUCAGUAGAACAAAUACACACACACAGGUGAGGACAAGCAAAGCUGAGGAAAUCUGAGAGACUGUAUGAUGUCAGUAUCCUGGUUGUUAUAUUGUGUUACAGUUUGACAAGAUCGUAUCAGUGGUGACGCUUGUCAAAGGGUCCGUGGGCUUUCAGUUUCUUACUCCUGCAUAGGAAUCUACAAUAAUCUUAAUAAUUUCAAUUAAAAAAUAUACACCAUCCUCAAAUGCCAAAUAAGAUUAUUGGUGAGUUCCUGGGAACACCAAAAAAACAGAUCUUAAUCCUAUGCAAACUAUUCUAGAUAUUUGAAAAUGAGUGCCUGUGUCCAAGGUAUUUUAUGAAGGUAGCAUAACAUUCACAUCAAAACCAGAGAAGCGCAAUACUUGAAAGGAAGAUUCUACGCUAAAUUUACCUACCAUAGGGACAAAGAUCUUAUUACUGAACAUAGCAACAUAUUAAAUGGAACUAAACAUGACCACGUUGUACCUAUACUAGGCAUACAAGGAUAGCUCAGCAGCCGAUGAGCUAAUAAUGUAAUUCCUUAUGUUAAAGGAAUAAGGAAGAAAAGUAAUAUUAUCCUCUCGGUAGAUUCAGAAAUAAUAAAAUUCAAUACUCAUGCAUAGUAAAGAUGUCUUUAAAAACCAGUAAUAGAAGGGAGCUUUCUUAAGCAGACAAAACUAGCAAAUAAAAUUUUUAACAAGUUAAUUGCAGAAACAUUUAAUGACCAUAACAAGAGAAAAGAGGGUUAUAAUAUAAAAUUCUAUGAAGCAGUUUAUAGUUAAUGACCUGGAGAUAUUUAUACUGAUAGGGAUGAAUCUAAAAAUGUGUAAUAGGGAAUAAAGACAAGUUUCAGAAGGAUGCAUAUGGUCUGAUUCCUUGCAUAGUUUAGGAAUACAUUCACACGCAGAAGAAGCAAAAUCUACAGACGGGAUAAACACCAAGUUAAGGAUACUGGUUACUUUUGACCGUGAGGUAUGAGGGAGCAGUGGGUGAACAUUAUGCGGGGGUUCGCGUUGGUAUCCAUAAGGCUUUAUUUCUUAAGCUGGAUUGUGCGCACGUAGGUGUGGUUCACAUCAGUGCGUAGGGUUAGUUUUCUUCCCUCCUGUCUGUUUCCAUGGGCGUGGUGGGGGAUAGGAGAGGGGUAACUAUGGCUGUCAGCUGAAGUGUUUUGAUUCCCAUUUUGUUUUCACUUCUUGGUGUGGCCCCUUCUGAUCACCUCAUCUAAAAUUUCAGCUUGCCUUUCUCACCGACAUUUUUUAAUUUUUAUCAUCUUUUAGUAUCUAUCGUGUGUGUUUUACUGAUCUGCCAUGUUCAUUGUCUUUCAGCUCUACCGAAGGGAAGCUCCAACACGGUUGGGACAUUUGUGGGGUUUUUGUUGUUAUUCAUUGUUUAUCUCCAGCCCUAAAUCAAUGUCUGGCACAUAGGAGACUCUUGACAAAUACUCGUUGCAUAAAUAAACAUAUAUGAACAAUUGAUGAAGCAAAGGUUUAUUUGAGUAAAAGUACCCUGCUCUUUGAUGUUCCUCUCUUUAUUGCCUUCAUCGACUUCCCAUCCUUAAUCUGGAAUGGUGUUGGUGAGGCAGGCCGGACGAGGGGGCAGAGGGGCUCAGGGCGCAGAUCGGAAGGUAUGGGGUCAACAGGAUGCUUGCAAAGACACGGGAUGCACAGGGCUCAGAACAACCGGGAGAGAACAAUAGGAUGCUGCAGACCCGCGCAUACCAAAAUAAAGUCCCGAUGGUCGGCCUGCCAGGUCAAUUUCCUCUUAAGAGGAGAUGUUCUCUCUCUCCCUCACUAGGCAUGCGCGACCCAGCGCAUUAGGCAGUUACUCGCCCUGCAUCCAUGGAUAUUCACCCCACAGUUAAUCAGGCCCUUUUUAAACCCCACCCACUGUACCUCUGGGCUGCUCACCCCCCAGCACACCCACACUCCCUCUCUCGGUGUAUCCUUGUGCUUUAAUAAGCUCCUGCUUGCUUGCAUCUGCUUGACCCGCUCUUGAAUUUUUUCUCACCCAGAGCCAAGAAACCUCUUGGAGGUCCCACCAAGCUGGCGGGGAGGCCUCCCUGCACCAGAUUUCCCAACCACUUGGGGGUGCAAGCCAGGGUUCCCGGAGCCUCUCUCUGCUGCUACCGUCAUCUCAGAAGACGCCUUGUGCUGACACAUGCAAUUCCUUCUCAGGGAAAACAGAGUACGAAGAACAACCGGAAGGUUAUGAGAACUGAAUCCAGACCUCGUGCGUGCUUCAUGGACCAGCCACACACCUGAGUCUCCACUCACUCUCUUUCCUCCGACGGCACCCCUGAGCCCAGGACUUCCAUACCGACUCUCUGGAACUGGGCCCCGAAUGGGGCUAUUCUGACUUGCGCGAGUGUUAGAGUUGUCAGGCAGUCAUCUCUCAUCCUCUGAGGAGCUGGAGCGCGAGCCAGGUAGGCGCAGAGUUCCACUCAAAUCAUUGACACUUCUGAAUUAUCCAGAAAUCCAAAUUUCAAAAAACCAAGCAAAUAGGUACCAGUGAUUUAUUCAAAAUGAUUUUGGGACAACUAGGUAGCAAUCUGGAAAAACAAGUCAGAGUCUUCCUUUAUUCUUCCAGGAGGCAGAAUUCCAAAUGUACCCCAUGAUCUUUGCCCAGCGUUUCUCUUAUGAUUGUGUUGACUUGUGUGCACAGGAGGCCUUAAAAUAGGGAGAUUAUCCAGAAUCAUUCAGAAGGGCCAGUGACCAGCCUAGGGUCCUUGAGCUCCGCAUGCUACAACAUUUAGCACCAGGCUCCCAGUCUGGCUUGGCCAAGGCUUUAUUACCCUGGAACAGAGGGAGUCAGGACGGAGGAAAGAAUCCUCAGCUGACUCUCCAGAGAGGAGGUGGGGAAACGUUUCUAAAAGGUCACACAGCUGCCGAUCCUGAAGCCAAGAUUCUCCCCAAGCAAGUUUCACUCCAGGACCCGUGCUCUUGAUUGCUGUUACACUGCCUCGGCCCAGUGAUUGAAGAAAAACAAAUGAAAAUCUUUACAUCCUCAGGCAUCCAAUGAGCAGUAAUGGGGAUGACUCAAAGUGACACAUGACUGUUUGGUCAGUACAUGGGGGACAGACUCAGUCAGAUUGAUCAUGAACACAAAACAAAACAACCCACCAGAGGCAAUAAGGGCUCCUGGUCAUUACAAAUUACUUAAUAGACUGGGUCUUUUUCUGUUCUGUCUCAGGCCCAGGGUCAUCACAUGGGUCUUUAAAAGCAGAAGAGAAAUAAGAGGUCAAGCCAGAUCUGAAGCCGCAGUACCGGCUGUCCUGUGGAUUCAUCAUGUUGUGGGUGGGACCGUGUGACGGGAGAUGGGGAGUGGCCUCCUGUGGCUGAGGCUAGCCCUGUGGCUGACAAACAGCCAGGAAACAGAGACCGUGGGUCUACCGGCAAGGAGCUGGAUUCCACCAAGGGCCUUAGUGAACUUGGAAUUGGGUUCUACCCAGAGCCUGUGGAAAGACACCUGCCUGGCCAGUGCCUUGACUUUAGCCCCCUGACACUCUUGAGCAGAGCAUCUAGUCGGGCUAUGCUGGACUUCGGAUCUACAGAACUGAGAGAGGAUACAUUUCUACUGUUGCAAAGCUGCCGACUCUGGGACAGGUUGUUAUGGCAGGCUGACAAUGCCUGGCAUCAAAAUAAAUUCCAGAAGCAUCAAUGAUGAAUAAAUAUAAUGAUGAAAGCAUCAAAACUUGCUGCACAAUAAAUCAUGAAUAAAAUCAAAAUACAAACAACAAAUUGGGAAAAAAAUAUUUAUAACACAUAUAGAAAGCCAAGGGUGUAAUUAACCUAAUAUUUAAAAAAUAUACACAAAUCCGUUGUAAAUUUUAAGGAUGCUUAAUCUCUCAUAAUAAAAUGAACUCAAGUGAAGACUGUAUGGAUCAUUAUCACUUUUCACGUAUUGUGUUAGGCAAACAUUGAAAGGUUUGUUCAGGGUGUGGAAAAACAGGCAUUUUCAUUUGAUAUUGUUGGUGAGGCAAGUGGUUCACUCCUUUGAAGGGCAAUUUGAUGAUAGGAAAUUUAAAAUGCGCAUACUUUUAGCAACUGUACUUUUUCAAAUUUAUCCUAAACAUAUAACUCAUAAAUACGUACAGAGAUAUCAGUAUUAGUGUCGCCAUCACAUAUCUAAAACCCUUAGUGCUGAAUAUGCUUCAGAAUUUAAAACUGUUUGGAUUUCAGCAAGAUAAGUUGGCCGGAGUCCCAGCGCCGCAGAUCCAAGCGAUGCCCCGGGGGCGGUGCACACAGAGCUGCAGACCCUCCCCGACUCCGCGCCCAGCCCGGGGGUCCUGCCACUGGUUGGAUGGGCCUAUAGCUUUCCUUCCAGGAAGCUUUGAUUAAGCAAAGCAAGAACUGGGGGUGCGUAAAGGGAUCUGCCCCUGAGAGCAUCUGUCGAUUCUCACUCAUUGACUAACUGAUGGAGGGGAAGAAUUAUUUUCCUAUCUAAAUAUGGAGAGGAUCAAACACGAGCAGACCUCCGGAGCCUCAGCCUGUGGCCUCUUUGGGUUUCUGGAUGCUUCCCUUACUUGCCUGCCCAGCUCAGAGGGCAUGAAAAGAAACGGCUAAAGAUAUUAACCAACCCACUCUGCUCCUUUGGGAAUCUGCAUUUAUAGUCUAUGCUGGUGCUUUAAAGGUCUCAAACAAAGUUACCCAGCUUUGAUUGUAUUUGUCUACACUCUAUUAACUCAGGUGUCUGAGAGCAUGUCUGCCCAGGUCCUCACCACUUCCCUUCCUCUCCACCCCUUCAACAGCUGCCUGCCACACAGCGGGGCCUGGAUGAGGCACCCCAGUCAAGACAGAGUCUUGUUAUGAAACUACGCUAAACAAGUAACCCUGACCAGGUGCCAGGCACUGUUCUGUGCAUAUUCUGUAUAUUUUUCAUGUAAUCUGCAUGCUACAGGGGCAGACACCAUUAUCAUCCUGAUUUUACAGGUAAGGCAAAGAAGUAAUUGUCCAACAUUCAGAGGUAGUAACGUAAGAGUCAGGAUGUAAACCUAGGAGGUCCGCAGUCGGUACUCACAGCUACUCCACUCAACUGCCUCUCCCCAAGUCAUGCAAUGCCUCUCUCGGUGACGUGGAAAUAGCAGUGAAAGCAUCUCUUUAUUGCUGUUUCAUUCCUGAUUAUGAGACUGACUGUGAACCUGCCACAGUUUGAGAGAGCACAUUACAGCCGCCACCCAGGACCUCUGUGAGGACAAGAUGGGACGCCUGGGUUGCGAGUUGCAUGAAGGAACAUCUUAGAGCACUGAAGGCAAGUUGAUGGCUCUCUGCCUAUGUGUCGCUCGUUCUCCUGCAUGCCGAAGCUCUCUGGAGAUCUCAUUUAGCGAAUGAAGGCUAAUAAAGCAACAGCUAUCUGCAUGGCCCUGUUCUGGACUACUUGUCUGGGUCACGUCAUGAGCUUUGGGGCAGCUGUGAUCUGUCCAUUCCGGAGGAGGUAAGUAGGUACAGAGAGGACAUGGCUUACCUACAGUCACAUGUUGGGGUCUGAGGCAUAAAUGAAUCACUGCAACACUCUAAGUUCAUGCACUAUUUGAGUGGCCUAUGUAUGUGGACUACCAGAUGUGGAUAAAGUGAAGGUUCCUGUGGCCAGGAUUCUCACUGGUCCUGGUCAGCUAGCUCACAACACACGUGGGCAAUACAUUGUUAUUGACUCUCUCUAUAUAUAAAGAGUCCUACCCAGUGCUCUGGGUGAUACGAUGGCGCAGCUGCAAGGCCGCAGGAGAGCAGAGAUGAGACUGGAGUGGUGGCAGCACCAAGGAUGGAGACUGAGAUGGCUAUGCGGGCAGAGAGGCCCAGAG